CCCUUAGACGUUCUGGGCCGCACGCGCGCUACACUGAAUGGAUCAACGUGUUUUCCCUUCCCGAGAGGGACGGGUAACCCGCUGAACCCCAUUCGUGGUAGGGAUCGGAGCUUGCAAUUGUUCUCCGUGAACCAGGAAUUCCCAGUAAGCGCAAGUCAUAAGCUUGCGUUGAUUACGUCCCUGCCCUUUGUACACACCGCCCGUCGCUCCUACCGAUUGAAUGGUCCGGUGAAGCGUUCGGACCGUGGCCUUUGGACGGUUCGCCGUCUGUUGGCUGCGGGAAGUUCGUUAAACCUUAUCAUUUAGAGGAAGGAGAAGUCGUAACA
rnacentral:rRNA from 1 species